rnacentral:rRNA from 1 species
CAGUAGCCGCGGUAAUACGUAGGGUGCGAGCGUUAAUCGGAAUUACUGGGCGUAAAGCGUGCGCAGGCGGUUCGUUAAGACAGAUGUGAAAUCCCCGGGCUUAACCUGGGAACUGCAUUUGUGACUGGCGAGCUAGAGUAUGGCAGAGGGGGGUAGAAUUCCACGUGUAGCAGUGAAAUGCGUAGAGAUGUGGAGGAAUACCGAUGGCGAAGGCAGCCCCCUGGGCCAAUACUGACGCUCAUGCACGAAAGCGUGGGGAGCAAACAGGAUUAGAUACCCCUGUAGUCCCUGUCUCUUAUAA